CAGGACGGUGGUCACCUCGACGGGGAGAAUGCAACGCGCAUCUGGGGGUUAAAUAUAAAAGUGCCGGAGAAAUCGAAAUAUCUCGCUUUCCGCCUCAAUUACUCUUGUUUGGUCCUCUGCUGCUUUCCUUUCCCUUGUCCUCCACUCGUCGGUUCCCUUCUCCCAAACUUUUCCCCAAUUUCCCGUCUGCUUUUCCCUAGUUUGGAGGAGAAUCCCAUCCCAUACCAUCCCACCGUUUCCUCCUUUGAAACCUAGGGGGAAGAAAACAAGGCGAAGAAGAAGAGUAGGAGGGGAGGCGGCGAGACUCAUGGCGGCGGUCGCGGUCCAUCAGUUCGCGCAGAGCAUUACUUGCCAUGCCUGGAGCCCGGAUCAGACGAUGGUUGCAUUGUGCCCAAACAAUAAUGAAGUACACAUUUAUAAAUUCAUUAAAGACAGGUGGGAGAAACUGCAUGUUCUUUACAAGCACGACCAAAUCAUAUCCGGAAUAGAUUGGAGCAUCAGAUCCAAUAAAAUAGUAACGGUUUCACAUGACCGGAAUUCGUAUGUUUGGAACCAAGAAGCUUCUGAAUGGGUACCUACCCUUGUCAUUCUCAGGCUAAACCGAGCUGCUCUUUGUGUUCAGUGGAGUCCUAAAGAAAACAAGUUUGCUGUUGGAAGUGGGGCCAAAACUGUUUGUGUAUGUUACUAUGAGCAAGAGAAUAACUGGUGGGUUAGUAAGCUUAUCAGGAAAAAGCAUAAUUCUUCUGUUACAGGUGUUGCUUGGCAUCCUAACAACAUUCUUCUUGCAACAACAUCUACUGAUGGUAAGUGUCGAGUUUUUUCAACUUUCAUCAAGGGUGUAGAUCCAAGGGAUUCUGGUGCAGGCUCUUCUAAUGAAUUAAAAUUUGGAGAGCAAAUUGCACAACUUGAUCUCUCAUUUACUUGGGCAUUUGGUGUCAAAUGGUCUCCAAGUGGCAAUACCUUAGCUUAUGCAGGGCACAACUCUAUGAUUUAUUUCAUCGAGGAUGUUGAAUCUUCUCCUUCUGCACAAACUGUAGCCUUCCGUGAUCUGCCUCUCCGUGAUGUCCUUUUUGUUUCCGAGAGAAUGCUAAUUGGUGUGGGAUUUGAUUACAACCCCAUGGUUUUCGCUGCUGAUGAAACAGGACUAUGGAGCUUUGUCAAAUUCUUAGAUGAGAAGAAAACAACACAAUCAAGCUCGAAGUAUGGUUCACAGCUGCUUAUGAUUGCAGCAUACAAGAACAGGAAUAAUAAGAAAAUAAUAAGAACGGGAAUUUUAUUCUCAGUUCUCUGAAGCCUUUGGGAAGCUUUAUGGCCAAUCAAAACAGGGAGCGAGCAAUGAUACAGUUGAGCCAUCAAGACCUCGCGGUGGGGCUCAUGAGAACUGCAUAACUUGCAUCGUGCCUCUGAGGAAAGGGGGUGAGACUGUUGUGAAGCGUUUCAGCACCUCAGGGUUGGAUGGUAAAUUGGUGAUCUGGGAGCUUGAUAACUACAUUGAUCUUCUGCAAUAAUUCCCAAGUUGGUUAUCAUUGAAGAUUCAUCACAUUGGAAGUUUUGCUUCAGCCCUGCAGCAUCCUUGGUAGUGAUGCAGGCAGAUCUUCUCAAAGCUUAACCCAACUUUGAAUGAUUCCCCACCAACACCCUCCACCCCACCACCCCUUCACCUCUUUUGUAUUGUAUAUUAAAUAGUUGUACCUAAUAUUGCAAUUUUUUUAGUCUGCAACUUCUUAUCAUUCUCAGCUCGUUUAGAACUUAUUUUCAAUUGAAUGGGUUCUUCCCAUGUUUUUGUAAUCCUGUUGGGUUAUCUGACAAUUAUUAACUUCCCAGAAAAUGCAUGAAGUCAAUCUGCUACGCAGGUCAUCAUCGAAAAUUGGAGAGAUCUCAUCGAAAAUUGGAGAGAUCUCAUUGUAGGAUAGAACUUAUUGUUCUAUUAAAAGUCGAUCAUUUUUUUCUA